rnacentral:rRNA from 1 species
GCGGCACGCCUAACACAUGCAAGUCGAACGAAGUAGCAAUACUUAGUGGCAGACGGGUGAGUAACAUGUGGGUAUCUGCCCUUUGGCCUGGAAUAACACGAGGAAACUUGUGCUAAUACCGGAUAAGUCUUUACGGAGAAAGCUUUAUGCACCAUUGGAUGAGCCCGCACUUGAUUAGUUUGUUGGUAGGGUAAUGGCCUACCAAGACUGUGAUCAAUAGCUGAUUUGAGAGGAUGAUCAGCCACAUUGGGACUGAGACACGGCCCAAACUCCUACGGGAGGCAGCAGUGGGGAAUCUUGCACAAUGGAGGAAACUCUGAUGCAGCGAUGCCGCGUGAGUGAAGAAGGCCUUUGGGUUGUAAAGCUCUUUCGUCGGGGAAGAAAAUGACUGUACCCGAAUAAGAAGGUCCGGCUAACU